rnacentral:rRNA from 1 species
UACGUAGGGAGCAAGCGUUGUCCGGAUUUAUUGGGCGUAAAGAGCUCGUAGGCGGUUAAGUAAGUCAGGUGUGAAACCUCCAGGCUCAACCUGGAGACGCCACUUGAUACUGCUUUGACUUGAGUUCGGUAGGGGUAAGCGGAAUUCCUGGUGUAGCGGUGAAAUGCGCAGAGAUCAGGAAGAACACCAGUGGCGAAGGCGCUCUGCUAGGCCGUAACUGACACUGAGGGACGAAAGCUAGGGGAGCGAAUGGG